rnacentral:rRNA from 1 species
UACGUAGGGGCAAGCGUUGUCCGGAUUAUUGGCGUAAAGAGCGUGUAGGCGGCUUGGUAGGUCCGCUGUGAAAACUCGAGGCUCAACCUCGAGAUGUCGGCGGAAACCACUUGGCUAGAGUCCGGAAGAGGAGAGUGGAAUUCCUGGUGUAGCGGUGAAAUGCGCAGAUAUCAGGAAGAACACCUAUGGCGAAGGCAGCUCUCUGGGACGGUACUGACGCUGAGACGCGAAAGCGUGGGGAGCGAACAGG